ACCAGCAGAGGAGAAGAGGACGAGAAUUAAUUGGGGCCUGAAUUAUAUUCUCUCUCACACAAGUUAGCAUCUUGGGAAUUGGAAGAUAGAUAUACGCAUAAAACAAAAAAUUGCGACUGCCAUAAUAAUUUUUAUAUAUACAUAUAUUUCACACGGCAGUUUUGGGGAGGGAGGUCGGUGGCUGGAAUUACAAAAGAGACAGAGCAGAAUUAAAGAAGCUGCCGGCUAGGACUAUGCAAACAUAGAAGGCGCUGAUUUUGGAGAGACAGAAAGGGAGAAUACACACGGAGCACGGCAAAAGACGACAGAUUCAGUCGUGCAAAUUAUUUACGUUUCGUCAAUUGACCGGUGAUGAAUUUCCUAAUAAACUUGUGUUUUCCUUCCAUUAUUAUGCGUAACUAAAUUUGAUUUUAGGGCGAACAACGUAACUUGUUUGGAACCCUUUAUUUCGUUGAAUUAAGAUUCUAGUGCUUUUAUAUUUUAUUUUUUGAUUUUAAUGUUGGUC
rnacentral:lncRNA from 1 species